GUUGACACCAAUCACACCUCGUUCGAAACGUCAAGGAUCAACAACAUGGCGGAACAAGUCCUUCCGUCUCUCUCCAUCUCCCCCACUCGCUGUCGUAAUUCAGCGGAUAUUUCACACCCGGUUCGAUGUUCGAUCACUUCCUAAUCCGUGGGAUAACGCAGAUUAAACUCUCACCUCGUACUACGUAAUCCGCGCAGAAAAAAAAAACAUCCCCAUUGACGCUUCUUUCUCUCGAGAGAGCGAUGUACGAGUGACAUGGCGUAAAAAAAAAAGCUUCUCUUUGCACAACGCGUUAUUUGGACUCGCUGGCGACGAUGCACGCUCCGGAUAAAACGUGUCUGUGCUGUGCGCGUUGCCACCUUUCGCCAGAGCUGCUGUCACAGGAGCACGAGGAGGAGCACGCGAGGAGGCGAGGAUUAUGAGCAUCGCAUGUCGACGACCGUCCACGAGAGGAACGUCUCGUUGCUUCCCUCGCCGAGAAUGACUUAGGCCAGCUCGUCGAAAACGAAGACUCCCCUCCGGUAUACGCGAUGCGGAACUUACAUUGGGCAUGCUGGCUGUUUUGGGUGGGUCUACCGAUGCUCGCAGCCUACCCUGUACCCACCUCAAUCGCCGCGGGUUCACCGCGCACUCAUGCUUCUUGGGAACACUACUGGCGUUAUGCGAUUGCUCUGUCAAGCGUCACCGCCACAGCAUUAACUUUGGCUGGCUGCCUCUGUUGUCAGAGGCAUAGAAGACCAAAGGGAUUCAAGGACAAAGCAGAGAAAUACAAUCAGGAAUUCAAAGAUGGGAGCAGUAUAGAACAGGAAAGCACCUUUGGUCGAUCUGUUGAAGGAUUGGAAUUGGAUGCCUCCAGGACAUUAGCUGCUUCCGAGAGAGUCCAAUUUGAACCUUUACCAGUUGACUCGAUCGUAUCUGGAACAAGAAGCCCUCCGAAAGCUAAAGCAAUACCUCUAUCGACGCCACGUAACGAGGAUCAAGAUACGGAUCGUUCUAUUCUACAAGAGCCAUGUAGCGAAUGGUUUAAUUCCAAUGAACUUUACGUACCAAGAGAAAAACUCAAGUAUCUUAGAGAAAUAGGUCAUGGAUGGUUCGGCAAGGUUGUUGAAGGUCGGGCAGAUUUGGAACAGUCGAAAGGAAUCUCGAAAUCGGGUGGUGUCGUCGUGAGAAUUCUCACCGAGGAGGCUACCACUAGAGAAAAAGCCUGGUUUCUCGGUGAGGCCACGCCGUACUUGAAACUACGUCAUCAGAAUGUUUUAGCUCUGCUCGGUUUCUGCUUGGAAACUGAUCCGUAUCUUCUAUUGUUCGAGUCGUGUCCAGCUGGCGAUUUGAAAGGCUUCUUGUUGUCAAAUUGCGACACCACGUCAAGAGACGCACUUACCAAGGAAAAUGUUCCAAUUCGAAUCGCGAUAGAAAUCGCGGCCGGUUUGAAACACAUGCACAGUCACGGCUUCGCACAUACGGAUCUUUCGGCGAGGAACUGUCUAAUCGCUCCGGAUUUAUCAGCCAAGUUGGGAGAUUAUGGUACCGGAGUCGAGAAAUAUCCCGAGGAUUAUUAUAUAAUAGGAGAUCGAGCUUUACCCAUCAGAUGGUCCGCGCCGGAGAGCUUAAAUUGUACAGAUACCACGAUCGAGACACAAGAGAUCACAUUGAAAGCCAAUAUGUGGAGUUACGCGGUUCUCUUGUGGGAGAUCAUCAGUUGGGGCGAGAGGCCAUACAACGAUAUGAACGACGAACAAGUCAUUCAGAUGAUUCUAUCUCUGAAGAAACAAGUCUCGCCAAAUGGUACGCGACUCUUGCAAAGCUAUCUCGUUAAUUGUUCGUCGAAUAUAUGUCAAGUGACUCGCUUGUGUUUGAAUGUCAAUGCGAAAGACAGACCCUCCUUGGAUGAUGUGAGACAAAUUCUUCUGAACGAACAUUCGGUGCAUGUGGAUUUCGAACAACGCUGGGAGAGUUUGCGCCAGAAUGCUUGCGGCAAGCAGCACGUACGAAGUGCCAGUUUGCAAGACUUACGCGGAAGCAUCGAUUCCGACUAUUGGACUCACAUCGUGGACGACGUGCCGGCAACAGACAUGUUGCAGCAGUCCUCGUUUCGUCUCGGACCAGACGAACAGGUGAGAAACAUCCCGGGGAUGAAGAACUCCGCGAUGUUUCAGGAAUCCGGCUCGGAAACCGAGGAGGAGAGCUGGAAGGGUCGAGUCGAAAAGGGUGUUUACACGGAAAAAGUGAAGCAAAAGUCCAAGUCCGUGACGGAUCUUAUGGUCCUCGUUCACAUCGAUCCCGAUUCUGAUGCGGAGUGGUCAAUGGGAGCGCAAAACUCGUCGGAGAAAAACGUCAAGAAGAAGUUAUCCACGACCGGUAGCGACAGCGAUCUAAGACACACCGUUCCCGCGGACGAGUUCGACGAGGCACUGAAGAAGUUACGGGAUCCACUACCGAAUAAUAACAAUAACGUCGCUAAUAAAGUUAGAUCGUUGGAAAAUUUAGAGCGACCGAAACUCUUGACUCUUACUAUGGAUCAGGGUCAUACGCCGAUCUUACGGUUAUUUUUGGACGACGCGGGAAAAACUCCUGAAGGCAACAACGACACCCUGUCCGAGAUGAACGCGGAUAACGCGCAGCGCAGUGAAAAACACGUAUUGAGACUCUUGUCGAAAGGAGAUCCGGAUCUUCCUCUUCUUCGCUAUGUACCUGACCAAACAUCCUUCGUCGAGGAAGACGCGGAAAGGAAAGAAGAGACCGAUAUACCGUUCGUUAAUAAAGAGACAAUCCACGAUGAUAUUUCCGAUCGUUUCUCGAGUAACAUCGAGACCGACCAACACAAUACGGUGGACGUUUUGCUCUGGAAUCACGCGUUAGACUCCGCUUUGGAGCACAAGGUACCCGGUUUCUCGGACGAAGCGGAAUUUAACGAGUACGUAGAAUCGGCAUCGACUGAACAAGGUAAUAAUGCACCGGAAUUAACCGUGACCGCCGUAUCUACGCCGGAUGCAUCGAACUUUUGUAACGUCUAUUCGAUUUAUAGUACCGAUGAUCAUUUUUCUACAGCGGAGAACGCGCAGGUGGAGCAAAAACUAUUGCCAGACGACGAUGAGGAGCGAAAGCAACUGUCGACGCCGGAUGAUGAGCAGAGCUCCGAUUCGGGAUUUCGGGACAAGGAGUCUUGCGAGGAAGAGGAAGCGACUUGUCUGCCGACGUCUGGCAACCUCUUGCCUUCGGCCAAUAACGCCGCUACUUCCGGAUCGUUCUACACCGAAGAGGAGCCAUUCCAGAUUCUACUCGAGCUAGAUACUAUUCUCGACGCGGAAUAUUACGCUACUGCCGGCCCUGAAAGUAUAACAGAGGGUACAAUUUCUAUUCCCGGCGUUGACAAGAGCUUGUCGCCUUCGAAAGGAAAUGUCUCGAAUCAUAUCUCCACGAAUGUGAAUGAAUUGAAUGUAGAGGAAGAACAAGUUGACGAAUUGACACAAACGGUCGAUACGAAGGAGAAAUCAAACACGAUAAAAAAUAUCGAGACGAUGGAAAAAAAGAAUAUAACUUAUGAAACUCAAGGAUCUAAGGCUGAAGAUGACGCUCAUCGAUCGUACGAUUCGGAAACGGAAGUCUCUUUAAAAACGGACGCGAAUACUAUUUAUUCUCAACGAGACGAACAAUGCUCGCAGGGGGAUUGUGAAAACGAGGAUGAAGACAGUUCCACAGUGAGUUUACGUAGCGACAAUUCGUAUGUGUCGUUCAACAUGGAGGAGGAAUUUGUAACUGCGAUUCGUAAUGAACUCAGGGAAAAAUUGCCACAGGCUCAGAUGCAGAUCGUAGAAUCUUUGGAAGCUCACGAUGACGAAGGCUCAACCGUCUCCAGCGAUAUGUACAGUAAACGAUGGGACGACGAGGAUGCUGAAGAUUCAACCGAUCAAAUGGGCGGAGGUGUAGAUAUCUCGAUCAGAUACAAUGUAUACGGAACGCCGCUUAGUCCCAUCUUAGAGGAGCGAGAGAGCACUGUCACUUCUGAGUCUUUAAUAUCAAAUUCCAGGGAAGCGUCGAUCGUUUCGAGAGACUCGGUACCGUCCGAGGAUGUGUUAUUAGUCGACACGCGUACCAACGAAAUGAUAUUAUUGGAAGGACUGGCAGAGCGAUUACAGGAAGAAGAUCGGGACACCACGAAUGGUGAUUUGUCCGAGGAGGAAAAUUUAGAUUAUACUUGUUCGAUGACGCGUCCAUUAGAGGAUAAGUCGCGUGGAAUCAUGAAAGCGAGCGGAGGCGCACCAUUACCAAGUCCUGAGGAAGAAUCUAAAUGGCAACAAUUGCCUUCGUCCUUUCCAUUGCCUCUUCCUUUACCCUUGCAAGACGAUCUAAUGUCGACGAGUUUCGCCGAGCUUGAAUGUUGCAGUCAAGAUGAAGAUGAAGAAGAGGAAGAAGGAGAGGAAGAAGAGGAAGAUGAAGAGGGAGAAGAGGAAGACGAGGACAACAGUUCCAGUUCCGGUGAAUUUGUGUGGAAGAGAUACAACGAACCGCAUAUCGAACAGAUACGGAUCAAAAGUACCACCACGAACGAAGAUGACGAAGCGACGAGUACGGUGGUGAAUACCGAAUUGGAAGAGGAGUUGGGUGUCGAUGAAGAUGAAGAAGAAGAGGAAGAGUUUACGCCUUCGGCCUGGAAUGCCGCUUUAGCACCUCAUCGAUCGGCAUUGAGGUCUCCGGACAAAACGUUAAAAUCUGGGGAUGAGUUGGUAGGUGUGUCGAUUACUUAAGUACACAGAGCAAUGCAUGUAAUUUUAACAUACCUCUCGCGUGACUCUUUCCCUUGCAGACAUUUAAAUUUGAGGAUCAGAAAAAGAGCGUAUGGUUCAAGAAGCAACGAUACCACUGUGUGUAUGAGUACCCGAAAGAAACACCACCUGUGGACAAUCAGGCAGACGUUACCACUAAUUCAGAACCAACAUCGUAUUCUGAUUGGGAAGAAAUGAUCAAUGAGCCGCGAUUAGAUAUGUAUCCUUUAAAUUACGACGAUGCCAAUCAUGCUGGAAACGAUGAGUUUUUUGUUACCAGUUCGAAUCGACCCUUUCAGUUUCAAACUGGCGAGAGUAGGUGCGUCAGCCAAUUUUUUCCCGGCGCGAAUGCGACUUUAUUGUCUGAUGAACGGG
rnacentral:misc_RNA from 1 species